rnacentral:rRNA from 1 species
GACAGAGGUGCCGAGCGUUAGGCGGAAUCACUGGGCUUAAAGCGCGUGUAGGUGGACGGGUAAGUAUCUUGUGAAAUCCCACGGCUCAACCGUGGAACUGCUGGAUAUACUGCUUGUCUUGAGGCACUUAGGGGCAGCUGGAACAAAUGGUGGAGCGGUGAAAUGCGUAGAUAUCAUUUGGAACGCCAAAGGCGAAAGCAGGCUGCUGGGAGUGAUCUGACACUGAGACGCGAAAGCCAGGGGAGCAAACGGG